rnacentral:lncRNA from 1 species
GAAAGAGUAACAAUAUGCUGAUUUAUUUUCUUUCUUCAGACCAUUUCAUGCUCUCUCUCUCCCUCUUGGCUUUCCAUUCCCGACUCACUGUAUUCCAUUUGCUCUCUUUAAAUUUCAAAAUUCUCAUCUUAUACACCAAAAGCUUGUACAUUCACGAAGGAAAUGUUAAGAAUUUCACUAAAUUGGUAUGAAAUCAAGGUUAGUCUCAGCAUUGAAGGAAAUUAGAAAUUGUCAAUUGCAACUAACAUCAACUAGAGCUAUAUUAAAACAUCAUUAGUUUUAAAUUUUCAACAAACGAAAGGUAUGUCAUGAGUUUUUUGGAAUUCAAAGAAAUUGGUUAGUUUGUGGGAUAGUAUUGAUAUAAUUAUGCUAUAAUUGAACUGUUGUUGUGCUGUGAAUUGUAAGAAGAUUCUAGGCAGGUAGAAUGGAGUGAAAAGGGAAGAAAAUUUUGGUUUGAUUCAUAUUUAAACACAUAUGAAAUCUAUCUUUUUAAAGCUUGCAUGCUAGAUGUUUGAUGAAAUACCC